UUCCAAGAACAACUGUAUCUCAAGACUUUGGCCAAAAUUUCUCACACUUCUUAAAGAAAAUCUGAUCAUCCUAAAGCAACAGCCUUGGCAAGCAGAGAAGAAAUCAACAGACAGUAAUUAUACACAUAUUUCAGAGAGAAGACAUAUGGAAAGCGGAGGAAGCCUUGCCAUAAAAAUAGAACUUUAGAGAAAAGGAUAUGUGAGGAAAAGUACUGAUGUAGCAUUAGGACAAGAAGGAAAGAGAUCUCAGUUUUAACUGUGCUCAUUUAUGCUGAAACAGCCUCUCAAACUAGGUUUACCAAUGGUUUUCAAAUUGUAGGGAACCCUGCGGUUCUUUAUAAACUUAUCAAUGAUUUGGCGAUGAGAAGGUCAAUAAUGAUAGAUAGGCUUCCCUGAAAGACAGCUUGUUCACCACUACUGAUCAA